rnacentral:lncRNA from 1 species
CAUCAAUUACAGCACCACUUCGAUAUUGUAUAUUUUUGCAAAUUAUAAGGAAGAGCAUCUAAAUGGAAGGUUCUGUUUACAUAACAUAAUUUUGAUUCCUUGAAUCAAAAAACUCUUACAUGUACAUUCAUAUACUUUAUUGUCAUAAAUUUGUUAAAAUACAGCAAGCUUAGAGAAACCCACCCAUCAAGAUUAUGAUAUUUGAAGGCUUUAAAGUUCAAAUCCCUAUGAACGAUUGAAUUCCAGUGUCACGCUAUCCAUGCCAGCUUGCACAGACUUCAUACAAUCCACUACCUAAACUCCCAAUAUUCAGCCCCUUACCCACAUUUCUUCGAAAUCAUUAUAUUGAUCCUGAAAUUGGUGGGCUUUACUCGAGUUAGAGCACAUCAUCCUCAUCCUUGCUCCAUAAAUACUUGGACCACUAGGAGAGAGAGUAUAUGACAGCAAAAUUGUGGCAAUCACAGUUGAGGGAAAGAGAGGCAGAGAUGAACCCAUGCAGCACAAUCACCAUUGCUCAAUUUCUCCUGAAGACUCUGAGGAGCCUUCCAAACAUCAAAAGCACUAUCACCACCACCACCGUAGCAAGAAAUAGACAGAGAAAACGUAUAAGAAAGCAUAUGAGGAACUGGAAGAAAGAGGAAUUGAUGAAAUCUAGGUCAAAGAUAGAAAAUUGGAGAUGAUGUUAAGAAAAACGGAGAUGAGGGUGUGGUGGUUGAGGUUCUGGUGUUGACUGGGGC